AGCACCACAGCCCUGUGUGUAUGAGUUAUGAGAAUACGGACAGCCUCACCACUUGACGCACAAGAAUUUGAGCGCGCACCGCGGAAACGUGUACGGGUCCUUUCUGCGACGCGGAAUAAAAGAGCUGUAGACCAAAUGAUGACUACGCUGAAUAGCACGUGCCUCACCAUGCUGGCUUGUAUUUGCUUCCUGCCAUGGUGUUACACAAGGACGCAUAGUCCUCACACCGAGAAGGUUGUUUGCCAAGCUGAGAGCACUCUACGACUGCACUAAGCUGGCACUUUUCGAAGCCGAUCACAACAAC
rnacentral:lncRNA from 1 species